rnacentral:misc_RNA from 1 species
GAUGAAGAACGUAGCGAAAUGCGAUAAGUAAUGUGAAUUGCAGAAUUCAGUGAAUCAUCGAAUCUUUGAACGCACAUUGCGCCCGCCAGUAUUCUGGCGGGCAUGCCUGUUCGAGCGUCAUUUCAACCAUCAAGCCCCCGGGCUUGUGUUGGGGACCUGCGGCUGCCGCAGGCCCUGAAAACCAGUGGCGGGCUCGCUAGUCACUCCGAGCGUAGUAGUUACAUCUCGCUCAGGGCGUGCUGCGGGUUCCGGCCGUUAAAAGCCUUUUACCCCAAGGUUGACCUCGGAUCAGGCAGGAAGACCCGCUGAACUUAAGCAUAUCAAUAAGCGGAGGA